GGAAACCAAUUAAGUACAUGCUUAAUUUUAAUGAUGGAUCCUGUGCUGAGGGCUAUAAAGCUAAACUGCCUUUAAACUUGGACAAAGUCCCCUUUCUCUUUAUUUAGAAAGAAAACAAGGAAGUUCAAUGCAAGAGGUGGUUUUAGUGCAAAACCAGGCUUUUCAAUGUCAGCUGUCAGGAAUGGAAACAGUGAGGAUGAGCUGUAAUAACUUUAACCUGGAACAAGUAGGGUUAAUUCACAGAAGCUAGCUCUGCCUAAUGAGUCAGGGCAGUUCUGAGUGGCAACACCAGGCUUCUGCCUCUUCUCUGACUACAGAGGCAGCCUGGGGAGACCAGCACAACUAAGAGUGGAGCCAGCAGUCGUUCUGUAUUUGUGCUACCAGGCCUAGAAUUCCACAUCCUCCCACAGGAGACACUAUAAAAGUACAAAGCAAAUUAGCUAAUGAAACAUUUCUUCUCCUGUGCAUUCUCAUCUGCAGCUUUAAUCAUUCCAUUAACAGUGUCAUAGAUGCCUUCAUUUUGUUUCCUGAGCGCUGCUAUCAACAGGACCGACCAAAGCUAUGAGAUAUGUAUGAUGCCUAUUGAUGUCACAAUUAAAGGUUUCUGAGGAAACAGUGCUGCAACAUAGUUCACUAAUUGCUCAUCAUUGAAUUGACUAUGACAUUUCAUAAUGCAUUCUAUUUCACCCUCUUCACCAAACUAUGCAGGGCAGCUAAGUACUUUGAAAGCUUUGAGGAGGUAUUUCUAUUUAUGAGGGCAAAGGCAAUAUGUAGACAUCCCUUUAUAAAGUAGAUCUGAAUCAGCAUUAAAAAAACCUGUUAGAAGUAAAGCAGCAGCUUAUUAAAAAGGACUUUAGUGACAGAUGAUUUUAGCAAAGCCACCAAUAUUUGAAAUUACUGGGAAGUACCCAGCAACACCACAAAAUUACAUGAGGAGACAAAUACCACAGCCUAUCUCUGCAGUCUUCAAGAUUUUGCUGGAUUUGCAACGUGGCAAUUAUUCCCAGGGAAAUGCUAAAAUAAUAUGUGGGAGAGAAAUGUGCUCAGAGAAGACAGACUCUAGUUUUAUUCCUCUGCUCACACUGCAAAAUACAGCUCACAACAAAUCUGCAAGCAAAUCUGGAUUCGUGACUUAUGUGGGCCAUUAAUAUUUAAUGCAUGCAGUAUCUACUCUUUUGCAGCCAUCCUGAAAAUUGCCAAAAUAUGGAGAGGGAAAGCAGCCAGACUUUUGCCCAGGAGUUUUUCACAUGAUCACUUUGGGCUGCUACAAUAAAUUCCUACGGAGUCUUCCA
rnacentral:lncRNA from 1 species